rnacentral:rRNA from 1 species
GACGAACGCUGGCGGCGUGCUUAACACAUGCAAGUCGAACGGAAAGGCCCUGCUUUUGUGGGGUGCUCGAGUGGCGAACGGGUGAGUAACACGUGAGUAACCUGCCCUUGACUUUGGGAUAACUUCAGGAAACUGGGGCUAAUACCGGAUAGGAGCUCCUGCUGCAUGGUGGGGGUUGGAAAGUUUCGGCGGUUGGGGAUGGACUCGCGGCUUAUCAGCUUGUUGGUGGGGUAGUGGCUUACCAAGGCUUUGACGGGUAGCCGGCCUGAGAGGGUGACCGGCCACAUUGGGACGGAGAGACGGACCAGACUCCUACGGGAGGCAGCAGUGGGGAAUAUUGCACAAUGGGCGGAAGCCUGAUGCAGCAACGCCGCGUGCGGGAUGACGGCCUUCGGGUUGUAAACCGCUUUCGCCUGUGACGAAGCGUGAGUGACGGUAAUGGGUAAAGAAGCACCGGCUAACUAC